rnacentral:rRNA from 1 species
AUGGACGCAAGUCUGAUGGAGCAACGCCGCGUGAGUGAAGAAGGGUUUCGGCUCGUAAAGCUCUGUUGGUAGUGAAGAAAGAUAGAGGUAGUAACUGGCCUUUAUUUGACGGUAAUUACUUAGAAAGUCACGGCUAACUACGUGCCAGCAGCCGCGGUAAUACGUAGGUGGCAAGCGUUGUCCGGAUUUAUUGGGCGUAAAGCGAGUGCAGGCGGUUCAAUAAGUCUGAUGUGAAAGCCUUCGGCUCAACCGGAGAAUUGCAUCAGAAACUGUUGAACUUGAGUGCAGAAGAGGAGAGUGGAACUCCAUGUGUAGCGGUGGAAUGCGUAGAUAUAUGGAAGAACACCAGUGGCGAAGGCGGCUCUCUGGUCUGCAACUGACGCUGAGGCUCGAAAGCAUGGGUAGCGAACAGGAUUAGAUACCCUGGUAGUCCAUGCCGUAAACGAUGAGUGCUAAGUGUUGGGAGGUUUCCGCCUCUCAGUGCUGCAGCUAACGCAUUAAGCACUCCGCCUGGGGAGUACGACCGCACGGUUGAAACUCAAAGGAAUUGACGGGGGCCCGCACAAGCGGUGGAGCAUGUGGUUUAAUUCGAAGCAACGCGAAGAACCUUACCAGGUCUUGACAU